CUCAACAGGGCUCCAGUGUCCCAGCUUUCCUUUCCUGGGGUUAGUUCUGGGGAGGUGGAGUUCUCUGCUGAACCUGUCUGGAAUAUCUGGCUCUAGCUGAGGUAGGAGUAUUUUUUAGUUGAGGGAAGUCACCCCAAGCCCCAGCUCCCACUUUUAGGGGCACGUCUGGGAUGGCCAUGCUCAGUAUCCCUUCCAGACAGGUCUUUGCCUCUCCAGUGCCCCCUCUGUGGCUCCUAGGGCUGAACACAUUCUUUGGUAACUGUCCCCCAGUCUCCCCUCCCCUGAGGACCAGGAAGAAUUGGGGCACACCAAGGAAGGGCAAGUGGGCAGCCCCAUUUUGGGGACGUGAACGUUUUAAUAAUUUUUGCUGAAUUCCUUUACAACUAAAUAACACAGAUAUUGUUAUAAAUAAAAUUGUAAAAAAGGAAAAAAAAAGAAAAGGA
rnacentral:lncRNA from 1 species